rnacentral:rRNA from 1 species
CCUACGGGGGGCAGCAGUGGGGAAUAUUGGACAAUGGGCGAAAGCCUGAUCCAGCCAUGCCGCGUGUGUGAAGAGGGCCUUCGGGUUGUAAAGCACUUUCAGUGGGGAAGAAAGCCUUGGGGCUAAUACCCUCGAGGAAGGACAUCACCCACAGAAGAAGCACCGGCUAACUCCGUGCCAGCAGCCGCGGUAAUACGGAGGGUGCGAGCGUUAAUCGGAAUUACUGGGCGUAAAGCGCGCGUAGGCGGUCUGAUAAGCCGGUUGUGAAAGCCCCGGGCUCAACCUGGGAACGGCAUCCGGAACUGUCAGGCUAGAGUGCAGGAGAGGAAGGUAGAAUUCCCGGUGUAGCGGUGAAAUGCGUAGAGAUCGGGAGGAAUACCAGUGGCGAAGGCGGCCUUCUGGACUGACACUGACGCUGAGGUGCGAAAGCGUGGGUAGCAAACAGGAUUAGAUACCCUGGGUAGUC